GAGAGAGGAGUCAUCAUCCAGGUAAAGUGACGUGGAUCAGUGGAUACACUUGUCUCCCCUUUAAAGGAGAUACUCUUAGAGAGAGAUGAUCCGAGUCAUCCUUAAAUUAUAUCAGUCUUGGACUGUCUAACCUGCAGGAGCAGCAUUGAAUGACCACCACACAUGAGCUUGUUCCUGCAACAUUCAGCAUCUGAUCUGUCAUCUGUGUGCUUCUGAUUUUGUGUCAAAUGCUAAACAGCUGGAGAGGAAACUACACCAGUGUACUACUGGGAUGUUUCAGCAACACGUGCCAGACACUGUUCCUUCAUGGUGACAUCACCAGAGACAGCCCCGCCCACUUCACGACCUCGCCAUUGAUCAUGAUGAUUAUAAUGAUCACAGCGAAUGGAACGAAGACUGUAAAAAUC